UGAAGCGCCCUGAUGCCUUCACGUACCACACGACCGUUAAAACCAAGGGGACCAGAGCGUCGGAAAGUAGAGCACGAAGCAGCCCGACUGUUAUUUAUGAAUUCAUAUAUAUAUUUGUAUAAUGAAAAGAAUGUGACGGCCACACAUCCAUCUGAAAGAGUGGUAACCUCUCGCACCAACACUUUGUUUUAUUUUGCUUAGGCAGUUAUUUUGACUUCAAUUGAUUCAUAUAGUUUCUUGGACACAUCAUACACAUUCUUUUUGUUUCAAACAAUAAGUUAAGUACAAAUAAUUUACAGGACACAAGGGUUUUGUUUCACAUACUCAUACUUUAUUCAUUUAGUUUGACAGUGCCAAUGCCAAUGUAUCUUUUUGAAGCGCGCACAUUAAGUUACUUUGUGCAGCCUGUUCCUUCCUAAACUUUUCUUUCUUUGAGCUCACCAGUGUCCUGGGAUGUUUCCUCGUUGUCUGUUUGGCAAAACGUGACACCUGGAGCCACGUCAUGGGGGAGCUUCAUUCUUUGUUGAAUAUGUUUGUUUUUUAUACAUGCUAUGAAGUGUUUUUGUUGUGAUUCAUUUUUACAUAAGUGAACAUCCUUUUUUUGAGUAAGGAUUUUGUUUUGAUUGUUGUUUGUAGUUUAAUAAGUAAUGUUUGGUUGUGAAGUUUCCCGUGUGUCACAACCUGGUCUUAUCCGCUGGUGUAUACAUAUAUAUAUUUACAUACAUGUCCCCUUUCCAUCUUUAGCAGGUCAGUUGUAUGUGGUGUUAGUAGCUUAAGUUAAGUUCUGUUUAGUUAACCUCUUUUAUGUGCCCAGAACUUUUUCUCUUUUUGUAAAAUGUUUAAUUUCAUUAUUUUUGGUUAAAUAAAACCCAUUCCUUUUAAACGUA